CCUGGGCCUGCUCUCUGUUCCCUUCCUGCAUUAGAGAUUGGCUAUAAGGAGAAGGCUGACGGCUGCAGCAUGAAGCGCAUUAUUACCUUGUGAUUCCAUGACCCUCCUCUAUGCAUCCCUAACUCUCGAAAGCUGAUUCAGCUUUCAGCUAGUGCUCUGGUAUAAUUCUGAGCGCUGUCUCGCGGCAUGGCAGCGGAGGCGGCAGGGAGGCUUUGCCACGGACGGUGUCACAUCACGGACGAUGUUAAAAAUGAAAUGGGGUGGAUGUGGCCCCCCAAGAGCCAUGGUAGCCUUGCUGUUGGCACCAAUGGAAGCAGGUGAUGGCUGCUUCACCAACCACUUUGCCCCGCUCUUCCACUCCAUGGCAGCUCUUCAUCCCGUUUACCGCUCCUUGGAUUAAAGCCGCGGCCGCUACGUUGCACUGGGCCCGCUCUAUUUUACAGCUAAAUUAAAGCCACUUCUCUUAAACUUUUUACAAACUGGAGAGCAUCUCCUGGCCUUGAGUGCCGUGGUGGGUGUGCUACCAGGAGCACCCGUGCUGCACCUGCAGCGCUGGGAUGCUCAGGUGCACCCAUCCAUCCCGCGAGCCGAGGACUGUGCAGCGCCAGGCACGGAAACAGGAGCUCUGAGAAUUGUAAAAGCCAUAAAUCCAGUGGACCAAAUUAGUUAAAUUUUUCUAUUCUAUGCCUCACAAAAUCCAGCCGUUCUGGAGAUGAAUUCCCCACAUGUAAGCGGAACUACCGGCAGGUAUAAGAUGGAUAUUUCGCACGUGCACAUGAGAGCACAGGGACAAAUUUGUGCCAUGCAGUUUUCCCUGGCGGGUUUUCCUUUUUUCUGUACUUUUGUGUAUUUGUUACAUCGAUGAUCCAUUAUUACAGUUGUUACUAUUACUUAAUGUUGGAAGACAGGUGGUCCCAUAAAUUCUAGCACCCUCUAUUUUUUUUUUUUUUAAAGGGGGGGGCAUGUUUGCAAUUCAAGUUUAAUAGUGCAUUCAUCAAGAGCAAUAAAGCAUUUUAUUGCACAAGUAUUUCAAGGGAUGUGCUGGCCCUGGUAAAAGCAUUAGUAAAGGGGUGCAUCAGCAAUCUCAUUUAAAACUGUCGACCCAACGUGAAAAAUGUUGCGUUGAAGAAUAAACUGCUAUUAAGCAUGAUUAGAUUGACCUGCAGGACAGAUAUUUUAGCUGCAGCAGCACAAGUCGAUCAAAGUGAGCAUCGCUUAGAUUGCAAAUUUUUUUUUUUAAUGCCCUAAAUUAAAAAUGAAAGAGCCUCAGAAUAUUUAGGACCAGAGUGUGACUUUGGGGGUGAGAUCUGUGCAUUCGAUUCGAAGUGGUUUGGGAAAGUGAGGAAAGGGGGAAAAGGUAUUAAUUGCUGCCCCUUUAGCAUACAUUGAAAAUAUGUUACUCAGAUCAACCAAUCAAAAAAGAAAUUGUGCUGACUCAGCACUCGGGCUAGUCUGCACGUCCGAUUGCAGAAGAGAUCAGCACUGCACUGCAGUAUCUUUCCCUGCCUUUGACACCAGCCUAGCUGGGCAGGGCUUCCCUUGUGUUUCCCAGGACUAGUUUAGGCCAAGAACAAGAGAAGGCCCUGAAGAGAGGAGGAGAGUCAAGGUUGCACGAGCCUCGAGCUGCUGACAAUCCUUUUUAGUCAGUAAGAAAGAGCUUCCAUGCUAGGUUUGCCCUGCCAGAUGCAAGCGGCAUGAAUUGCUUGGGAAUAUAUCUAUUUUUAAAGACUUUCACCACAUCUUGCACUUAGCAGUGACUGUGGGCGAGGGGGUGGUGUGUUCCUAGCAAGAGAAAUAUCCUCGCUCCUGAGCUCGGAUCCCUCCCUGGAAAGCCCAGGGCUGAUUUCAGUGCGGCACUGGCGGGUGCCUCCCCGAGAAGACGCUGGGUUAAAUGUUUGCCGCGCGAUGCUGAAGUUGCUCUUGACCUCAGCCAAGCGGGCAGUGAUGCUGAGAGCUGCCUUCCCACUGGGAUGUGGGGGUCAGGCUGAGAGCAGCUCAGUGCUCCAAGGGUGGGAGCCAGGACAGAACAUGGGCUCACUCCACUGCUGGCUCGCUGGGGAUGCAGACAAGUUGUGUAGCUCGCCUGCCUCAGUUUCCCUCCGAGGCAAAGUAGGUUAUUGCUGAGGGGUUGUUGAAGCUGUGUUUGCAUGGUGAGGCUGAGGGUGGAGGCGACCAAAGCAAGUGGAGGCAACGACGUGAGGCCAAGAUUGUUCUGGUUUUGCUGGCAAUGGCUUGCACAGUUCUGCCUGGUGUGUAUUUGAGGAGACAGCACAGCCUGCCUGGACUGUGCCCCUCUGGCUCCAUGCUGUCAUGCAAAGGCUCAUCUGCAUAGAACAGGUGCAAGGUGUGAGGUGUGGAGGCUGGACCUCAACCAUGAGCCCACGGAGCCGUGGAUGCCUGGGGGGUUGUCCCAGGAUGAUGGGUGAUGGGGUCUGUGGGGUCUGUGGGCUGCUCCAGCACGGCUGGCCUGCUUGCUGGUCACCAGUGUGGCCGUGAUCCUGUGCUGCUGGGUGAGUCUGCUGGCACCCUGCAGGCUGGGCUAUGCCAGGCUUAACCAGCCCUGAGCACCUUGGUGGGCACCUACAGGUGGAGCAGUGUCCCUGAGGGCUGCUGUCUCCUGACCACUGCAGCACCCCGUGAUGCUGUUGAGGUGUUUUUGUUUGCACUGUGUAAGCAGCACCAGCGAGCAUCCCUGGGUUAGUCUGUAUUUUUCCAGAGCAGUCUGUACGGAGGAGCAGCGCUGGUGGAUGACCCCCUUGUGUGCAAGGGGAAGGCUUUCAGACACAGAUAUGUCUUGACUAAAGCUGGAUUUGAUAGUCAAAGGUUUUAGCAGUUGGAACAGUUGCUGGUGUUGCUCAGGAGGCUCAAGGGAAGCAGGUGACUGACAUCUCCAACAGAUGCAGAGUUUUCCUUUUUUUUUCCUUUUCCUUUUUUUUUCUCCUGAAGCACAGAGCCUGCAAAUGCCUCGCCAUGCCCAGAUAUGGCCUGUGCUGGGACCUGUGCCGCUAUCUAAAAAAGCCCUGGGCAGAGUGAUGAGCCUGGGGGAACUGGGGAACAACUGCUAUAAAUAGUCUCAUUCUCAGCUGCCCUUCUGGGGGGACAGGAUUAGGUGGCAUCUGGGCAGCCAGGAGGCGUGGGACUCGUGACCAUCAACCGCAGAAGUCACCCAGCAGCUGUAAGGACAGGAGCCAUCCCUGCAAAGGCCUUACAUAGGCAAGUCAACCCUGGCAUUUGGGGGGUCGGAUAAAGCCACAGGAGCAGGAAUUCAGUGACCUAAGAGCAAUUGAGAAUAAAGUUCACCGCAACGGCCGGGACAGCGCUUCCAAUCUGAGCUGUGACCUGGCACUGGAGACAGAACUUGGCUUUUGGCUUUUCAAGCUGUUCGGUGCAAGCAAAGGAAGGUGUCAGGAGGGAGAUGGUGACACGGGAAGCAAAGUGUCACAAGGAGCUGCUGAGAUGAAAAGAUUGGUGUUCCCUUCUGGGAGGCUGCGGGUUAAUUUGCUUGCUAAUUUCCUGGCAGCGAGACUAUUGGAAGCUCUGAUUUAAUAUUUGUGUUUACUUCGGGUAAACAAAUUAACAAAAAAAACCCCAAGUCUUAAUAAUUUAAGACACCGACUUGAUUGAAGCUAGCAGAAAGUAAUGAAUCUCAUGUGGUCAUUUCACUCCCAACCUGACAGGAGGUGGGCAGUGCCUGGAGCUCAUGGCAGUGGGGAUGUAGGGUAGCUGGUCCCUAAAAGUGAAGGGAGCUAUGGACUGCAGGAAAGUGAAACGGCUUCUGAAGGAGCAGAGGAAAAGCACUGUGUUGUGCUUGAAUUAAGCUCAGCCUUGAGUAUUUGAAGGGAAAAAAUGGAGCAGGGUGAAUGGGAGAUUUGGCCAAACAGAGGAGGUGGCUGUGCAGGUGAUACCUGGGAGGGAUGUCCUGAAAUGUGUGCAGUGGGAGACUGGGGAUAAAAUCGUGGAGCAGCACUGCAGCUUGUCCCUGAGCAGGUCUGCUGUGGGAUGGGCACUGGCAUGUGCAGGCAGGGUGAGAUGGGUAUUUAUGUCCAGGCUUUGCCCCUUCUGUCCCUCACAGUGUCAGGGCUGUGCUGCACCACUCUGCCUUCCUUAAAUUGAGCCAGCUUUGUCCUAAAGCCUUGUCUUUGAGACAAUAAGAUGCACCCGCUAAAAUCUAUUGUGCCGUUUUUGCAAAGCCCAGCAAAAGUCCCCCGUGCACCGUCCCCUCCCUGUCCUCCACGCUCAUUUGGCCUAUUUGAAACUGAAUUUAUUCCUGGGAAGGUCCCCAUCAAUUUGCCUUGCUCUUUUGUUGACAAGUUUAUUAAAAACCUGGGCAACUACAUAUUAAACUUUUAUCAGUGUCGAGGAAGAAUACGUCCUUUGAGCGGCCACAAAAGUUAUGGAUUGGGGCUUAAUGUUUCUUGUUCCACCAUUCAGCUGAGUCAGCGUAACAAAUAAAAGCUGCCACUUCUUUUUUUUUUUUCCUUUUCUUGAGAGACAGUUCCCUUAACAGUGUAAGUAACUGUGUCCAGUAAUGCAAAAAACGUUUCAGGUCUGGGUAAGCAUGGGGGUUUUUGUUUCUCUUUGUGCCCGUAAGUCUUUAAUAAUUUGAAUAAGUAAUUUAAAAUAGGAAAAUAUGAACCCUGGAGAAAGUUAUUGCUGCUUAGCUCUGAAUCGAUAGUUUUGGUAAAAUAACAGGUACCUUAUAGUGCUUAUAUUUAAAAAUUUGCUGCAAAUGAAUAACUGUUGUACUGCAAGUGAUGUGUUUUCAUCCAGUGUGAAGGCAGGAAGGGGCUGGAGCGAUGUUUGGUUGGGGAUGUCCCUUUGCAGUGCUGCAAUAGGGGAUCUUCUCUCUUUUUCUUUAGUCAUAAGAUGAAACAAAGAGGAGGGCAAUAUGUUGCACCAAAGAUGUUAAAAAUAAAGCGUUAGAAUUGCAUAACCUAGUUCCCGUUUUGCCGUGCAGCUGAGUUUUUAGGAGUUGAAAGAAGCCUGAGAAAUAAUUGGUAGGAAGGAGUUUAAAUUGAUACAACAACAGUCAGGCAGGGGGGAAAAAAGAGAGCCUUGGUGGGACUAAGCCACAAUUCUUAAACUCUGCUGGGCAAAUAAAUAAAUAACACAGCAUCUUUCUCUGCCUGUCACCGUGUCCAAGGAUUUUUUAGUUCUUAAACAUGUUUGCUGGCAUAAUUUGUCAAGUCCAACAGGGAGGUUUCCGUGUGACAGCCGAUCGUUUUUCACCAGGCACAGUGGUGCACCAAGCCGUCCUGCCGGCUCGGAGCAGCUCCAUAAUUAGACAAGAGUUAACACUGCUGUGUGAGGUGGCUCAUCCUCCUGCCCAGGGCAUGGCACAGCCCAUCCUGAGCCGUGCCCGUGGACAAAUCCCUCUGCCUCCAGGAGCUUAUCUGCAUCACCAUUUGCUCCAAUUAUAACUAAUUGGGCGCAUAUUGCAUUUUCAUAGAAUCUAAUUUUCUAUUGAUUUUAACGGGACUGCUGGUGUUUUGUACUAUUAAGUGGUAUCUUGUAUCGGUUGCUGUUUAAAAACGCUGAGUGCACUCCCCUGUAUGGGAUUAUGCAGUCAGCACAUGUUUUAAAACCUGUUUAAUUGUUAGGUCCAUAAAAUGCACAAACUGUAUUAGGGAGCGGCUUUGUUCGCUUUUGAGAGUGUGAGUGGCAAAACAAAAAAAUCCAACUCCACAACUAUU